AGAAAGAUAAGCUAAGUUAAGCUUUUAGGUUCAUACCCUGAAAAUAGAAAAAAUUUCUUCUUUCUA
rnacentral:tRNA from 1 species